UUUAGGACCCUCUAACACACCCCAAUCAACCUGGCUCUGAUGAUUUAGACUGUGAUGAUGCCCGAGAUGGUGUCAGGGCCCCCAGACACAACCCAAUCAACCUGGCUCUGAUCAUUUAGACCGUGAUGAUGCCCCUGAGAUGAACGAAGAAAGGAUUUACCCUGGGGCAUCAGUAACAAAGGGGCAAUGCCUUAUGGCAAUAAUGUUCUUUGUUCUGCGUCAUCACCUGACUGGAACUUCCCUGAUAUACCUACUUGCCUUGCUGAAUUUGCUUGUCCCCAACUUGGUUCCAACAUCUAAAUAUCUCUUCAAAAAGUUUUUGGGUAAUCCAGCCUUGACAGCUGUCUCAUUUAUUUUGUGAUGAAUGCCAAAAUUAACUCGAAGACACAGAUUGCUCACAUUGUGGAACGUCCUUCAUCAGAGAAACAAAACGUUUAUUUUUGUCAAUACCUUUGAGGGACCUUCUGUGAGAUACACUGGAGAACCAUGGAAUAGAUAUUUUGAGGAAAACGGGGAAGUAAGAAGAAUAUGGAAUUGAGGAUGUCAUGGAUAGAUGGAAAGAUGUACCAGACAUAACUGAAAGAGAUGAGGCUAUCUGCUGAUGAUUUAACAUUAACCUGGAACUGUGAUGGAGUACCUGUUUUUAACUCCUCAAAUUACUCAG